rnacentral:rRNA from 1 species
AGUGAACGCUGGCGGUAGGCCUAACACAUGCAAGUCGAACGGCAGCACAGUAAGAGCUUGCUCUUACGGGUGGCGAGUGGCGGACGGGUGAGGAAUACAUCGGAAUCUACUUUUUCGUGGGGGAUAACGUAGGGAAACUUACGCUAAUACCGCAUACGACCUACGGGUGAAAGCAGGGGAUCUUCGGACCUUGCGCGAUUGGAUGAGCCGAUGUCGGAUUAGCUAGUUGGCGGGGUAAAGGCCCACCAAGGCGACGAUCCGUAGCUGGUCUGAGAGGAUGAUUAGCCACACUGGAACUGAGACACGGUCCAGACUCCUACGGGAGGCAGCAGUGGGGAAUAUUGGACAAUGGGCGCAAGCCUGAUCCAGCCAUACCGCGUGGGUGAAGAAGGCCUUCGGGUUGUAAAGCCCUUUUGUUGGGAAAGAAAAGCAGCAGGUUAAUACCCCGCUGUUCUGACGGUACCCAAAGAAUAAGCACCGGCUAACUUCGUG